rnacentral:rRNA from 1 species
AGAGUUUGAUCAUGGCUCAGAGCGAACGCUGGCGGCAGGCCUAACACAUGCAAGUCGAGCGCCGUAGCAAUACGGAGCGGCAGACGGGAGAGUAACACGUGGGAACGUGCCCUUCAGUUCGGAACAACCCAGGGAAACUUGGGCUAAUACCGGAUACGUCCGUAAGGAGAAAGAUUUAUCGCUGAAGGAUCGGCCCGCGUCUGAUUAGCUAGUUGGUGGGGUAACGGCCCACCAAGGCAACGAUCAGUAGCUGGUCUGAGAGGAUGAUCAGCCUCACUGGGACUGAGACACGGCCCAGACUCCUACGGGAGGCAGCAGUGGGGAAUAUUGGACAAUGGGCGCAAGCCUGAUCCAGCCAUGCCGCGUGGGUGAUGAAGGCCCUAGGGUUGUAAAGCCCUUUCGGCGGGGAAGAUAAUGACGGUACCCGCAGAAGAAGCCCCGGCUAACUUCGUGCCAGCAGCCGCGGUAAUACGAAGGGGGCUAGCGUUGCUCGGAAUCACUGGGCGUAAAGCGCACGUAGGCGGCUUUUUAAGUCAGGGGUGAAAUCCUGGAGCUCAACUCCAGAACUGCCUUUGAUACUGAGAGGCUUGAGUCCGGGAGAGGUGAGUGGAACUGCGAGUGUAGAGGUGAAAUUCGUAGAUAUUCGCAAGAACACCAGUGGCGAAGGCGGCUCACUGGCCCGGUACUGACGCUGAGGCACGGAGGUCAGGGGAGCAAACGGGAUUAGAUACCCUAGUAGUCC